UGGAGCUUUACUGUAGCCUGGUAUUGGAUUUUGGUCAGACAUGUACAGGAUAGGUGGGAGACUGUGAGACGUGCACGCCAGUGUACGAGGAGUCGCCGUUGGGAUACCACUCUUUUGUGAUCGGAGUUCUAACCUGGUGGCCUGAACCGGCCAUAGGGAGAGUGCCAGGCGGGCAGUUUGACUGGGGCGGUCGCCUCCCAAAGAGUAACGGAGGCGCCCAAAGGUACGC
rnacentral:rRNA from 1 species